rnacentral:rRNA from 1 species
UGGUUAAAAAGCUCGUAGUUGGAUCUCGGCGGACUGAGGGCGGUUUGCUUGCUAGUAUUACUGCCCUAUAGUCCGUAGUUUUGCCAGAGGUUUCGGGGUGCUCUUAAUCGAGUGUCCCGGGAUGCUGGCAGGUUUACUUUGAAAAAAUUAGAGUGCUCAAAGCAGGCUAUUACGCCUGAAUAUUCGUGCAUGGAAUAAUAGAAUAGGAAGUCGUUUCUAUUUUGUUGGUUUUCGGAAAUCGACUUAAUGAUUAAUAGGGACAGUCGGGGGCAUUUGUAUUCAAACGACAGAGGUGAAAUUCUUGGACCGUUUGAAGACAAACUACUGCGAAAGCAUUUGCCAAGAAUGUUUUCAUUAAUCAAGAACGAAAGUUAAAGGUUCGAAGGCGAUUAGAUACCGCCCUAGUUUUAACCAUAAACGAUGCCAGCUAGCGAUCUGCGGACGUUUUUUUUGUAGACUCCGCAGGAAGCUUCCGGGAAACCAAAGCAUUUGGGUUCCAGGGGAAGUAUGGUUGCAAAGCUGAAACUUAAAGGAAUUGACGGAAGGGCACCACCAGGAGUGGAGCCUGUGGCUUAAUUUGACUCAACACGGGAAAUCUCACCAGGCCCGGACACUGGAAGGAUUGACAGAUUGAUAGCUCU